rnacentral:rRNA from 1 species
GAAGCUUGCUUCCUGAUUUAGCGGCGGACGGGUGAGUAAUGCCUAGGAAUCUGCCUGGUAGUGGGGGAUAACGUUCCGAAAGGAACGCUAAUACCGCAUACGUCCUACGGGAGAAAGCAGGGGACCUUCGGGCCUUGCGCUAUCAGAUGAGCCUAGGUCGGAUUAGCUAGUUGGUGAGGUAAUGGCUCACCAAGGCUACGAUCCGUAACUGGUCUGAGAGGAUGAUCAGUCACACUGGAACUGAGACACGGUCCAAACUCCUACGGGAGGCAGCAGUGGGGAAUAUUGGACAAUGGGCGAAAGCCUGAUCCAGCCAUGCCGCGUGUGUGAAGAAGGUCUUCGGAUUGUAAAGCACUUUAAGUUGGGAGGAAGGGUUGUAGAUUAAUACUCUGCAAUUUUGACGUUACCGACAGAAUAAGCACCGGCUAACUUCGUGCCAGCAGCCGCGGUAAUACGAAGGGUGCAAGCGUUAAUCGGAAUUACUGGGCGUAAAGCGCGCGUAGGUGGUUCAGUAAGUUGGAUGUGAAAUCCCCGGGCUCAACCUGGGAACUGCAUCCAAAACUGCUGAGCUAGAGUACGGUAGAGGGUGGUGGAAUUUCCUGUGUAGCGGUGAAAUGCGUAGAUAUAGGAAGGAACACCAGUGGCGAAGGCGACCACCUGGACUGAUACUGACACUGAGGUGCGAAAGCGUGGGGAGCAAACAGGAUUAGAUACCCUGGUAGUCCACGCCGUAAACGAUG